rnacentral:misc_RNA from 1 species
AAAGUCGUAACAAGGUAACCGUAGGUGAACCUGCGGUUGGAUCAUUAUUGAUUUAACUAGUUGUAUAGGUAAACAAGUUGAUGCUACCAUUUGGAUAGCUCCUUGAAUACUAUAUAACUUUUAACACUUUGUGCAAUAAUAUUGUUUUUUGGGCCUAAACUUUUUUUUGUUUGGCCCUAACUUUUUAAAAACACCCUUUUAAAUUAUGACUGAUUACCAAGAUUUUUAUAAAUCAAAUACAACUUUUGACAACGGAUCUCUUGGCUCUC